rnacentral:rRNA from 1 species
AUGUCCAUGAUGGGGGAGCUGAAGUUCUUCCUUGGUCUUCAAAUCCAACAACAGCGCAAUGGCAUCUUCAUAUCUCAAGAGAAGUAUCUCAAAGAUUGCCUGAAGAAGUUCGGUAUGCAAGACUGCAAAGGCUUCACAACACCAAUGCCAGCCAAACAUCAUCUAGGUCCUGACGACAAUGGUAAAGAGUUCGAUCAAAAGGUAUACCGCUCCAUGAUUGGGUCUUUGCUUUAUUUAUGUGCAUCUAGGCCAGAUAUCAUGCUUAGUGUUUGCAUGUGUGCUCGAUUUCAAGCGGCACCAAAGGAGUCGCAUCACUUAGCUGUGAAGCGAAUUCUUCGAUAUUUGGCUCACACCCCAACUCUAGGAUUAUGGUAUCCAAAGGGCUCAGAGUUUGAUUUGGUUGGAUUUUAG